UUCACCACACCUACCCGUCGAGCGAGCGCAGCCAGUGAAAACCACCGCACGCAGCCACGCACCCUCCAUCCACAGCUCACCUUCUUCCCCCCGGUGACCCACAGGCUUCCCCGCCUGCAACCUCCACUCCGCCGCUCGCCUCCCUCCUCCGGCGACCGAGCUUUCCCUCCGCCAGGCUCCUUCCCCGACGGCGUCCGCUCGACCCUCUCCUCCUCCCCCCAGCAGCCGCGCGCCCCUUCCUCGUCGGCGGCAGCGCACCACCGCCCAGAGACCUUCCUUUGCUGGCCCCGCGGCCCUCAACCAAGCCCCCUUCCCAGCCGGCGGCGGCGCCCCUCCCACCAGCCGCCUGCCCAGAUCGCGGGAAGCCGCCGCUUACGCCCAGGAUCCCCGCAAGCCACCGACGGGCACCGACGGGAUCCCCCCCUCGUCCGUCGUCCCACCUCACCUGCCUCCUACUCGCGACGCCCUCCCCCCUCUCGUUCCAUCGUGCCGACUGCGGCGACUGCGAGAUUGAGCGUCGGCGGCAGGAGCAUAUCCUUCAACGACGGCGGCACGAGCCAUAUCCUCUUCCACGGCGUCAACCCCUCUCCCCUCCCCCGGCUUCUCCCUUCUCCCACAGCCGCACACAACCAAUCACCGCCGCCUCAAACCUGACGCGCGCUACCCCCGCGACCCGCCGGUCGCCAUCAUCCUCCGCCGCUCUCCACUAACGAACGCCAGCGCAAGCCUGCGCCCCUAGCUCGACGACCUGCAUCCAGCCGCUGCUCAACUGCGCAACCCCCCCCCCCCCCCCCCCAACUCUCUCUCCAGGACGACCUCCCGGUGCGCCCUCUCCCAACCUCAUGCUCCUCCAAGCAGGCGGGGAGUGAGGAGAUGCAGGGAUCCUGGAUGGGGAUUCGCCGGUGGAGGCAAAAGCUGUGCAAGUUCAUGGCGGAAGCCUUAUUGCAGUUCUCCUCAGUGGCAGCAUUCAGCAGUUAGGCAGUACUCCAUGGGCACCGCACCGGCGACCACGAGCAGCAGACCCGAGGAGACCCCUCUCUGACGUGAACCCAGGAACAACAUCAACGCCCCUUGGCAGUUAGCAAGACCACAACGCCCUUGCCCAUGCUGCCGGAACCACCUCUCCUACCAGUGCCUCCCCGGCCAGUGCUGCCCAGCAACCCCGGCGACAUGCAGCCCGUGUCGUCCUCGGCGACCCGAGACCCAGCGCGGCCUCAGUUCCCCAUGCCGCCGUCCUCCUCGUCGGGAUCAAGGGUGCCACCACUCGUCUUCUUCUUGCAUUGUUCAGUUAGCUUCCCUUUUCUUGAGGGAUACAGUCAGUUAUCUUCCAUACAUUGUUCAGUCACCAGAUACAUUCAGCUAGCUCCCCUUGUUUCCAACAGUUACGGUGGUCUUGUUCCCCAAAAUUCAUAAAAGGCAUUCUGUACUGUAGCUAUAUUUUUAGAAAAAUGCAGUUGCAGUUCACUCGUUAGAGACAGAGAAAAAUGCAGCAGUUAACUCCUAAUAUUGUGGCAGUUCACUUGAUGAAAAUAAACGAAGUGCAAGUUCAAGAAUGACUACAAAGUCUGCUGCCUUCUUUCGGGUUUCUUGGGGGUAUAUUUUGUUGCGCAUUCGAGUGGGGUUUCUUGAAUUGGUUGUGUUUCUCCAGGGGGAGGACGGAGCAGAUGAGCGAGUACAUCAAGAGGCUGAUAGCCUGCAUCCGGUGGUACGUGGAGCUGGAGAACUGCUACUUGGCCGAGCAGGAGAAGCUUCAGGCGGAGAUAGAUUCAGAGAAUACACGGCAUGCGGAUUCUAAUUUCCAGUGCUCAUAACUCCUCACGGGUCUGUUUGAUCUUGUAGAGGGUACAUGUGGCUCAUUUGUUAUAGCACUUGCAUACUCUUUUCUCAUCAAUUUACCAUGUGGUGGUGUUGAACCAGUGACCGUGUUCAGUACCGCAUUAUAAUGCUCAUGCUUCAUCUUUUGUGUC